UACGUAGGUGACCAGCGUUGUCCGGAUUUACUGGGCGUAAAGAGCGCGCAGGCGGUCGUUCAAGUCGAGUGUGAAAGCCCCCGGCUCAACUGGGGAGGGUCACUCGAUACUGAUCGACUUGAAGGCAGGAGAGGGAAGCGGAAUUCCCGGUGUAGUGGUGAAAUGCGUAGAUAUCGGGAGGAACACCAGUGGCGAAGGCGGCUGCCUGGCCUGUUCUUGACGCUGAGGCGCGAAAGCGUGGGGAGCGAACAGG
rnacentral:rRNA from 1 species